CGGGGUGAGUAACGCGUGAGGAACCUGCCUCAAAGAGGGGGACAACAGUUGGAAACGACUGCUAAUACCGCAUAAGCCCACGGCUCGGCAUCGAGCAGAGGGAAAAGGAGCAAUCCGCUUUGAGAUGGCCUCGCGUCCGAUUAGCUAGUUGGUGAGGUAAUGGCCCACCAAGGCGACGAUCGGUAGCCGGACUGAGAGGUUGAACGGCCACAUUGGGACUGAGACACGGCCCAG
rnacentral:rRNA from 1 species